rnacentral:rRNA from 1 species
AACGCUAGCUACAGGCUUAACACAUGCAAGUCGAGGGGCAGCACAGUGUAGCAAUACACGGGUGGCGACCGGCGCACGGGUGCGUAACACGUAUCCAAUCUGCCCGUUACUCGGGGAUAGCCUUCUGAAAGGAAGAUUAAUACCCGAUGGCAUUCAUUAGCGGCAUCGCUUAUGAAUUAAAGAUUUAUCGGUAACGGAUGAGGAUGCGUACGAUUAGCUUGUUGGCGGGGUAACGGCCCACCAAGGCUACGAUCGUUAGGGGUUCUGAGAGGAAGGUCCCCCACACUGGAACUGAGACACGGUCCAGACUCCUACGGGAGGCAGCAGUGAGGAAUAUUGGUCAAUGGUCGAGAGACUGAACCAGCCAAGUAGCGUGAAGGAUGACUGCCCUACGGGUUGUAAACUUCUUUUGUUUGGGAAUAAAGUGAGGCACGUGUGCCUUUUUGUAUGUACCUUACGAAUAAGCAUCGGCUAAUUCCGUGCCAGCAGCCGCGGUAAUACGGAAGAUGCGAGCGUUAUCCGGAUUUAUUGGGUUUAAAGGGAGCGUAGGCGGGCUGUUAAGUCAGCGGUUAAAUGUCAAGGCCCAACCUUGUCAUGCCGUUGAAACUGGCGGUCUUGAAUGCACACAAGGGAGAUGGAAUUCGUCGUGUAGCGGUGAAAUGCUUAGAUAUGACGAAGAACUCCGAUUGCGAAGGCAGUCUCCUGGGGUGCUAUUGACGCUGAGGCUCGAAAGUGCGGGUAUCAAACAGGAUUAGAUACCCUGGUAGUCCGCACAGUAAACGAUGAAUGCUGGUUCUUGGCGAUAUACAGUCAGGAACUGAGGGAAACCAUUAAGCAUUCCACCUGGGGAGUACGCCGGCAACGGUGAAACUCAAAGGAAUUGACGGGGGCCCGCACAAGCGGAGGAACAUGUGGUUUAAUUCGAUGAUACGCGAGGAACCUUACCCGGGCUUGAAUUGCAGCUGCAUAGGAUAGAGAUAUCCUUUCCCUUCGGGGCUGCUGUGAAGGUGCUGCAUGGUUGUCGUCAGCUCGUGCCGUGAGGUGUCGGCUUAAGUGC